GAGGGGAAAAACAAGCCCGGAGUCCGGGCUGCGGUCACAUGAUGGGGGGAAGGGAGGGGAACGCGAUGAAUGGCGAAAGAGGGUGGGGGAUGGACUUGGCGUGAACCGGGAGGCACCGCUCUGUGUGACCCAAAGAGGAGGCUUGGCAGGCGAUUCCAGUCUCCGCCUUUCAACCUAUGCUGCCACCGCAGGCCGAUUGAAACAAAACAAAACAAACCAGGCGAAGUGGACAGCCAGGUUUUUGUAGCUUUAAAUGCUGCGUGCUGUCUAGGGUGUUUCACUCUCCGCUGUGCACUCUACACUCGAGUUCAUUCUUAGGGAGUUUUCAGCUACAGUCGUUUUUAGAAGGAGCACUGACAGCGAGCUCUCGCCUUCAAAAAGAAAAUGAUCCCAUUUAGUCAUCAUAGUCCUGUUUUCCUCAUCCAUAAUAAUACUUUAUUCACAGAGUUGUUCUGAGUUUAAAAUAAAAUUAGAUGAAGUACAUGGAAGUGCUGUGUAGGAGUUUUGGGAUGGUGGUUGAUAACUAAGACAAAGUGCUGAAGAAAUGAUAGAAGUUGCAAAGAGACGUUAGUGUACUAU
rnacentral:lncRNA from 10 species